GACGAACGCUGGCGGCGUGCUUAACACACGCAAGUCGAACGGAAAGGCCUCUUUCGGGGGGUACUCGAGUGGCGAACGGGUGAGUAACACGUGAGUAACCUGCCCUUGACUUUGGGAUAACUUCAGGAAACUGGGGCUAAUACCGGAUAGGAGCUCCUGCUGCAUGGUGGGGGUUGGAAAGUUUCGGCGGUUGGGGAUGGACUCGCGGCUUAUCAGCUUGUUGGUGGGGUAGUGGCUUACCAAGGCUUUGACGGGUAGCCGGCCUGAGAGGGUGACCGGCCACAUUGGGACUGAGAUACGGCCCAGACUCCUACGGGAGGCAGCAGUGGGGAAUAUUGCACAAUGGGUGGAAGCCUGAUGCAGCAACGCCGUGUGCGGGAUGACGGCCUUCGGGUUGUAAACCGCUUUCGCUCAUGACGAAGCUUUGUGUGACGGUAGUGGGUAAAGAAGCACCGGCUAACUACGUG
rnacentral:rRNA from 1 species